rnacentral:rRNA from 1 species
UACAGAGGGGGCAAGCGUUGUUCGGAAUUACUGGGCGUAAAGGGCGCGUAGGCGGCCUGUUAAGUCGAACGUGAAAUCCCCGGGCUCAACCCGGGAACUGCGUCCGAUACUGGCAGGCUUGAAUCCGGGAGAGGGAUGCGGAAUUCCAGGUGUAGCGGUGAAAUGCGUAGAUAUCUGGAGGAACACCGGUGGCGAAGGCGCAUCCUGGACCGAGAUUGACGCUGAGGAGCGAAAGCUAGGGGAGCAAACGGG